GACGAACGCUGGCGGCGUGCUUAACACAUGCAAGUCGAACGGAAAGUCCCUGCUUUUGUGUGGUGCUCGAGUGGCGAACGGGUGUGUAACACGUGAGUAACCUGCCCUUUACUUUGGUAUAACUUCAGGAAACUGGGUCUAAUACCGGAUAGUAGCUCCUGCUUCUUGGUUGGUGUUGGAAAGUUUCGGCGGUUGGGGAUGGACUCGCGGCUUAUCAGCUUGUUGGUGGGGUAGUGGCUUACCAAGGCUUUGACGGGUAGCCGGCCUGAGAGGGUGACCGGCCACAUUGGGACUGAGAUACGGCCCAGACUCCUACGGGAGGCAGCAGUGGGGAAUAUUGCACAAUGGGCGGAAGACUGAUGCAGCAACGCCGCGUGCGGGAUGACGGCCUUCGGGUUGUAAACCGCUUUCGCCUGUGACGAAGCGUGAGUGACGGUAAUGGGUAAAGAAGCACCGGCUAACUACGUG
rnacentral:rRNA from 1 species